UACGUAGGUGGCGAGCGUUGUCCGGAUUUACUGGGCGUAAAGAGCGCGCAGGCGGCUGGUCAAGUCCGAUGUGAAAGCUCCCGGCUUAACUGGGAAAUUGCAUCGGAAACUGAUCGGCUGGAAGGUGGGAGAGGGUAGCGGAAUUCCCGGUGUAGUGGUGAAAUGCGUAGAUAUCGGGAGGAACACCAGUGGCGAAAGCGGCGACCUGGCCCAUACUUGACGCUGAGGCGCGAAAGCUAGGGGAGCAAACGGG
rnacentral:rRNA from 1 species